rnacentral:siRNA from 1 species
AGGUUAAACAUAAAAGAGGGAUGC